rnacentral:tRNA from 1 species
AGGGGUGUAGCUCAAGUGGUAGAGCACUUGUCUAGCAAGCACAAGGCCCUGAGUUCAACCCUUAGUGCCGCCA